GCUGUUGCUCUCUCUCAGUUCAGCAGUGAAGCCCUUACCCUGAGAGGGCCAGAGCCCUCUUCUCAGAGCCAGCGGGAGGAGGCGCUGAGGCUGAGCCCCACUUUGGGUCCAGUCCUGAAGGAAGAAGACCUCAGAGCUCCUCUGCUGCGGCAUGUCUCGCAGGCACGCCCUUUGGGAAGCUUGGAGCUUGCUCAUUUCUCAAAUGCUCGUGAUGGAAUCAGUGUUGGCAGAGAGAAGGCGAGUGGUCGCUCCAGGCAAAGGAAGUGUAACAAGAGUGAAGUCUGCAGAUUGGACGAAGCAUGUUUGGGUCCCCUCUGAUCUGUUGACCUUUUGCCAUCCAGUUCCCGUCCAGGUCUCGCUAGAGGAAGUCCAUCAGUGACAUUUUCUGCCACUGGAUCCAGCAGUCACUUCUCAGACCUCAUUCGUCUUUGACUUCCCUGCAGCACUCCCCUCUUCCUGAGGCUGUGCCAGCCAAGCUGCUGGAGCCUCGCGGGUUGUCUGCGGAACGAUGUUGGAAGUCAACGCUCUGCGGCUUCCUCCUCCCUGGGACUCUCAGGGCUACAUCUAUUUUCCAGGCUUAUCACCACAUCAAAAACUUCCAUCUUACCUCUGCCCCGGAAAUGGAGAUGGGACACUCCUUAAAGACAGUGACCAUAUCUACUGGAAAGUGAAGUCCUUGGUUGCACCUAGCACAGUGCUUUCAAUGAGGCCCCAUAAAAUAAAAACUGAUAAUGGCGAUGAUGAUGAUGACUGCCAGCCCCACACCCUAUAAACCAGACUGUGGAAAACCAAGACAGCAGCAUCUACCUACUUCUCCAACCCGUGGUUUUGAUCCCCUCUUGGGUUAAUCAUGUAGCUAAUCACCAAAGCUUCUGAGGCUGGAGUUUCCAGGCUCUUGCGCUUCCUGCAUAAUUUUGAAUGCAUUUUAAAAUUUAAGUUGACAUUUCAGAAUAUCCAUUCAUCACUUGCUCACAAUUAAAUUGAGAGCUUCUCAUGUGCACCAGAGUAACU
rnacentral:lncRNA from 1 species